GAGUGAAAUUGACUCUUCUUCCCUUUUCCGUCUCUAUUCCCUUUCUUGCUCCUUUACAAUUUCUGCACUUUCUCUGUUAAUUACUGUCUUUCUUGUUUGUGGACCGAUUGGGCGUACCAAUUGGUAUCAGAGCCCGUCGUUCGAUGGGCAAAAAUACUCAGUCCGCCACCUCCUCGGAUCCGGACGCGGUCGCCGCUGCCAUGGACUCUCGCCAUGAACACCUCCGCUCUCAGGUGAUGAGAAGAAAGAAGAAGACAAUGGUGGAUGCUCCUUCCGUCAACUCGAACUUGAAAAAAUAAAAGAGCCUGUUGAAGACUCCCUGAGUCUGACUCAACCCAAUACUCCAGCUUCAAAGAAGAAGGAAGAAGAGAAUGGUGAAUGCUCCGAAAAGUUCGUUGAAGACUUCCUGAGUCUGACUCAACCCAAUUAAUACUCCAUCUUCAAAGAAGGAAGAAGAAAAGCUUUGCGAGAAGGGAAGGAUCUUGAAGAAAGAGUGGGACAAAUGGGUAUCUGAGUGGAAGCAGUUGCACAAAGAAGAGAAAUGGCAGAGGCAAUUGCUUAGAGACGGAGAAGCAAGUGAUGAGGAAAGUGAAGAAAAGGUGCUGGUGCGCACUGUACGGGUGCGUUUUGGUUUCACUCAUGAGGAGCGAGUGCCGAAGAUGGAGAUGAUUAAAAAAGCAUUAUUUUGAGAACAAGGAUAAUGUAACGGGAGUCGAAGCGAAUCUUGUUCAUUUCUUUAACAGCAUAACAAUCGGAUUGGAAACGGAAGAAGAUUUCUUUUAAGCCGUGUUUAAAGCUGCCAUUCAAAGUGAUGUUAGCAUUGGUCCAUCUUUUAGAGUUGAUACGAUAAUCAACGAAAAAGUUGAGUAUCAUCAACGCAAUUUCAUCCCUCUGUACCAAAAGACACAAAGAUCCCUCUGUACCAAAAGACACAAAGAGAUGAUAGAGUAAUGCGAGAAAGGACAUCAUUUGUUUGUCAGGUAUCCAACUAUCUUGGAAGGCUUUAACCGUGGACUUGUUAUAUCUAAAUUAUAUCUAAAUUGUCCAAUGUAAGUGUUUAUUGUUAGUCAAUUACAUGUUUUUAAUGUUUUUUUAAUGCCUAUGGAUGCCAUUCUUUUAAUGUAGGAUACGUUUUGAUAAAGUGAUGGAUAAGGGAUUUCGGUUAGCUAUCCAGGGCAAUACUGGACCUUACUUGUUACAAUUUUUGAAAUUUUCUAUGAGUAAACAUGACGAGAAACCUUAUGCUCUACAAGCUUUGGAGAGUUUACCUCUAAGAACUUUUAGAGAAACAAAAAAAUUAAAGUCUUACGAGUUGCUCGUGAAUUUGGGUACAGAGGUUUGGAGAAAAGAUUUAGAUACCCGUUAUUGCAACAAAUAAUGGACGGGUGUCUGUAUGAAUAUCGGUGCCUGUAUGACACCCAUCCAUUGUUUGUUGCAAUAACGGGGAUCUAAAUCUUUUUUCCAAACCUCUUUACCCCAAAUUAACGACCAACUCGUAAGACUUUAAUUUUUUCGUUCCUCUAAAAGUUCUUAGAGGUAAACUCUCCAAAGCUUGUACGGCAUAAGAUUUCUCGUUAUGUUUAUUCAUAGAAAAUUUCAAAAGUUGUAACACGUAUGGUCUAGUAUUGCCUUGGAUAGUGGCUAACCGAAAUCCCCUAUCUGUCACUUUAUCGAAGCAUAUCCUACAUUAAAAGAACGGCAUCCGUAGGCAUUAAAAGAAGCAUUAAAAGCAUGUAAUUGACUAACAAUAAACACUAACAUGAGACAAUUUAGAUAUAACAAGUCCACUGUUAAAGCCUUUCAGGAUAGUUGGAUACAUGACAAACAAAUGAUGUCUUUUUUCGCAUUGCUCUCUCAUCUCUUUGUGUCUUUGGUACAAAGGGAUGAAAUUGCGUUGAUGGUACUCAACUUUUUUGUCGAUUAUCGUAUUGACUCUAAAGGGUGGACCAGUGCUGCCACCACUUUGAAUGGUAGCUUGAAAGAAACUUCUUCCGUUUCCAGUCCGAUUGGUAUGCUGUCAAAGAAAUGACCAGGAUUUGCUUCGACUUCUAUUACACUGUACUUGUUCUCAAAAUAACGGAUUUGCUUCGACUUCUAUUACACUGUACUUGUUCUCAAAAUAAUGCUUUGCGCUCAGAGCUAAUACAGAAGAGUCCUCCCUCCAUAUCGCAACAUUCCAUUACAGACGUAUAUGGACAACGACAAAAAGGCUCUCGGCAGCCUUCAAUAGGAUAAAAUAUCAUAUGGUGCCCAUGUAAUCCUGUUAUUAUAAGAAACUAUUAUUAUUACAAAUUGAAACUAAGUUAUAAAGGAAAAUUAAAUUAAUACUCACAUUCUCACCACUUGAAAAUCUCAAAGGAAUGCUGUGAUUGUUUUUCCAGUGGCAUAUGUAUGGGCAUGUUUGAUUAACCUUUCCAUUGUGAAUUCCCUUGGAAUUUGAGCUACCCGUUUCAAGUCAUUGAUGAGUUCAACCGCCUGCAGAACUUUCCCCGCAAAUGUUGCUAAAACAGGGGGGUGUUUGAGUAUUUGAUGAACCUUUUUGGCUUCAUGGCAAGUCAUUCUUUCCGUGUUAUUAAUACUUGCUGUUGUUCGAGAAUCAAAUCCUAUACACACUGUGCCUAUCAUCAGAGCAAUGAAGAUCGUUGUCCCAUGUAAAUUUAGAGUGAUUUUGGGAGGCCCCUAACAAAUUGCUUAGUUCCCAGCAACCAUUUCUCCUUACCACCACCAACCUGCCUUCUAAUCUAUUUAACCAAUAUCUCGAUUUCAAACAAUUCCUGAGCUUUGGAUUCCAUUUUUGAUUGAAAAUUCAGAAUUUUGGACUCCAUUUAUGAGUGAAAGUUCAGAACAUUGGAUUCCAAUUUUCAAGAGAAUGUUCAGAACUUUGGCAUCCAACCCCUUCUUGAGCUCCUCAAUCUCCCACUUUGGAGCGAGAUCCGUUCCGAGUAAAAGCGGUCAUGGAGCUCUUUGAACUGUGUCUGUACCGAUAUUUAUAGGAAAGCCUUCUUUGCAGUUUUUCAAUGGGUUGGAGGAAACCUACGAGUUUAAUGGUGCACAAACUCCCACGCAUUUCUAUAGUGACUUGAGAGAGAUGGUGUAUGACUUUCAUGCUCAACUACGGGUAACUCUGGAUCAUCCUCUUCUGAAGUGGGUACAAGUGCUCGAGACCUCACUUGUGGGGGUAACCAUGUUUCAAGACCGAAGAAUUGGCAAUAUGGAAUAGAACAAGCACAGGAUGAUUAAAUGGUGUGAAUUCAUGCUGUCCCAUCACUGAUGAUGCCAGGAAGGCAGUCAAAAUUUUCAGUGACAUUACAAAUUCUACAGAGAAAGUGAAGAUAUCAUUGGUAGAUGAAACUGGAAAUGAGGGCCUGCCAAACUUCAAUUAUAUACCAUAUGAUCACAGCUCACUUACUACGUACCAUGAGAAGACCCUACCGUUGUAAAUUAUGGGUUAGACAACGCCAUCGAAAUAAAAAUGCACCAAAUAUAAUGCAUCACAAAACCGGCAUGGCAACAGGAUAGACACUGCCAUCGAGAUAGAGAAUACCUCUACACCCAAACAUUUGCCACCCCAUGCCUAGGCCAACAGGAACAAACGAGCACAACCGCCAGAGCUUCGAGGUGAUGAGAAGAAAGAAGAAGAGAAUGGUGAAUGCUCCCUCCGUCAACUCGAACUUGAAAAAAUAAAAGAGCCUGUUGAAGACUCCCUGAGUCUGACUCAACCCAAUACUCCAGCUUCAAAGAAGAAGGAAGAAGAGAAUGGUGAAUGCUCCAAAGAGCUCGUUGAAGAUUUCCUGAGUCUGACUCAACCCAAUACUCCAGCUUCAAAGAAGAAGGAAGAAGAGAAUGGUGAAUGCUCCAAAGAGCUCGUUGAAGACUCCCUGAGUCUGACUCAACCCAAUUAAUACUCCAGCUUCAAAGAAGAAGGAAGAAGAAAAGCUUUGCGAGAAGAGAAGGAUCUUGAAGGAAGAGUGGGACAAAUGGGUAUCUGAGUGGAAGCAGUUGCACAAAGAAGAGAAAUGGCAGAGGCAAUUGCUUAGAGACGGAGAAGCAAGUGAUGA